GCAGAAACGUGAACAAAGAACCCUAAAGCUAAGGAGAAAAAAAUUGCGACGGCUUGGGAAAAAAUAGGAUUUGAUGCAGCAAAAAACGGACAGCAAGCUGCCACGACGUUACAGCAUGCUGAAAAUAUUUCCGAGGCGCGAUUUUGGCGAGUUCUAGCCAAUUUCGGGAAAGGUUUUGAGGACAAUGAUGUGGACGUGAUUAAGAGAAGUCCAUACAAGGUACAGAUGUUUAUUCUGGAGAUCCAUCAGCAUAGGAGUUCCUCUCAGCUGUGUCGGAAGUGCUUCACUGUUCUGGAGCCUAAAUUUUGAUGCUGGUCACUUAAUGUAUAUAUUUGUACAUUCAGGGGUACGGCGGGGGCCUUGUUCCGCCAUAUGUUGUUGUUACUAUUCUUAGAGGUCUGUAGACAUAUGUAUAUGUGGGUUGUUUGUGAGUUAGUUUUGAUGUUGCCUAUUCGAUAUGUUGUGAAUGUUUUUGUUAUAGCAGCCUUGUCGGCUCACAUGCCCUUUCAUGAUAUGAUACAAAUGAAAGAGGCUACAUGUACAUAAAAAAGUUUUAAACUAUUG